AAAUAACUACAACGAUACAAGCCUUUUGAAUUUCAUCCAUAAAUAAAAAUUCAUCUACUUAAACAAAUUUAUUCACCAAAAUUCUAAUUUGUUAGUGAGGAUUUGGUGAAUGAAAAUUUGGUGAAUGAAAACUCAAAUUAAACCUAAUUAAACCUAAUCCUAAUUCAUCAGAUUAACCUAACUUCAUUCGUGCUAGAAUUUUAAAUCCAACUAUAUGUAACGUCCUUAUUGCAAUUCCAAGCUCAUCCUUUAGAUCUUCAAUUGACUCCAAUCGGUGUGACUUUGGAUAAUGGAAGGACAUUUGAAGAAUGUCCGAGGCUUCCUUCGUUAAUGGUAGCAGCUACAAGAGCAUAUAAGAUUGGGUUUAGUAAAUUCAGUAAUCUAUUCUACUUGCCUAAAUUUAUUCUUUUUUUGUAUUACAACUUGUACGUGAAAACAACUAGCUAGGUAGAAGUACUGUACAACAAUAUGUCCACUGCUGCCAUUCUAGGUUCCUAUUACAAAACCACUGCCUACAUUCCUUGAAUUUCGUUGCAGCCUCCUGGAUAGCCAACCAUAGACCAAUCCAAUUGUGCUCAUUUGUAGAUCCUAGCUGCGCCAUCUUUGUGCUCAAAUAAUCACCAAGCCGAGAUUAGUCUCACACCAUUAUUGGUGGAUUUAGGUAAUUGCAAGGAUUCCCAAGAUCAAUCUAAAAAGUGCAAAAAAAUAACUUGGCUGCUACCACAACUCUAAUGCCAUCAAGAAUGAUUUUUACAUUCCUUCUACCGUAUGCCAUUGACCAUAGGGAGGUCGGAGGGAAGAAAGAAAAAAACUAAGGACCAUUCACUUCUCAUUCAAAUCAAAGCAGCGUAGGAAAAGAACUUCAAACAUCCAAGAACUAUGAACUCAACUUCUUGACACGAUCGGCAACAAAAAAGUCCAAUCCAGUCAAAGAAUACAGAAUAAAACUGUCGCAAUCUUGUGAAUGAGGACAACUUCACACAGUCCAAUGCCUUUCUAGUUGCAGGAUCUAGGCUUGAAUUAAACUACAAUUACGAGUAGCAUUGAUUAAUGCCAAUUCAGAGGAAAACAAACCAAAUGCACGUCUCUAGCCUCAAACGUGAAUGGCCUUGCUUGUAGCCGUAACACCACCAAUCUGCUGGAAUGGGGCUGAUCAAAGCUUUACAGACUCUUGAAUUGCCACAACGCUUAACAAACAGCUGCACAAAUUCUAGUCUUUCAACAUCAAACAACACCGCACUGUGUAACCAUAAUACAUCCUAACAGGAAGUUGGCAUCCAACGCAAUCGAGGAAUUGUCAGCCUCUUGCACAGACUGCUCUACCGCUACACAACUGAACCAAGGCCGUAGUUUGCCAGCUGUGCUUGUGACAUUGACAUCAACUAGGAAGGACUCAAUCCGAUGAUG
rnacentral:lncRNA from 1 species